rnacentral:rRNA from 1 species
AAUGGCUCAUUAAAUCAGUUAUCGUUUAUUUGAUAGUACCUUACUACUUGGAUAACCGUGGUAAUUCUAGAGCUAAUACAUGCUAAAAACCCCGACUUCGGAAGGGGUGUAUUUAUUAGAUAAAAAACCAAUGCCCUUCGGGGCUCCUUGGUGAUUCAUAAUAACUUAACGAAUCGCAUGGCCUUGUGCCGGCGAUGGUUCAUUCAAAUUUCUGCCCUAUCAACUUUCGAUGGUAGGAUAGUGGCCUACCAUGGUUUCAACGGGUAACGGGGAAUUAGGGUUCUAUUCCGGAGAGGGAGCCUGAGAAACGGCUACCACAUCCAAGGAAGGCAGCAGGCGCGCAAAUUACCCAAUCCCGACACGGGGAGGUAGUGACAAUAAAUACUGAUACAGGGCUCUUUUGGGUCUUGUAAUUGGAAUGAGUACAAUUUAAAUCCCUUAACGAGGAACAAUUGGAGGGCAAGUCUGGUGCCAGCAGCCGCGGUAAUUCCAGCUCCAAUAGCGUAUAUUAAAGUUGUUGCAGUUAAAAAGCUCGUAGUUGAACCUUGGGCCUGGCUGGCCGGUCCGCCUCACCGCGUGCACUGGUCCGGCCGGGUCUUUCCUUCUGGGGAGCCGCAUGCCCUUCACUGGGUGUGUCGGGGAACCAGGACUUUUACUUUGAAAAAAUUAGAGUGUUCAAAGCAGGCCUAUGCUCGAAUACAUUAGCAUGGAAUAAUAGAAUAGGACGUGUGGUUCUAUUUUGUUGGUUUCUAGGACCGCCGUAAUGAUUAAUAGGGAUAGUCGGGGGCAUCAGUAUUCAAUUGUCAGAGGUGAAAUUCUUGGAUUUAUUGAAGACUAACUACUGCGAAAGCAUUUGCCAAGGAUGUUUUCAUUAAUCAGUGAACGAAAG